rnacentral:rRNA from 1 species
GACGAACGCUUGCGGCGUGCUUAACACAUGCAAGUCGAACGGAAAGGCCCUGCUUUUGUGGGGUGCUCGAGUGGCGAACGGGUGAGUAACACGUGAGUAACCUGCCCUUGACUUUGGGAUAACUUCAGGAAACUGGGGCUAAUACCGGAUAGGAGCUCCUGCUGCAUGGUGGGGGUUGGAAAGUUUCGGCGGUUGGGGAUGGACUCGCGGCUUAUCAGCUUGUUGGUGGGGUAGUGGCUUACCAAGGCUUUGACGGGUAGCCGGCCUGAGAGGGUGACCGGCCACAUUGGGACUGAGAUACGGCCCAGACUCCUACGGGAGGCAGCAGUGGGGAAUAUUGCACAAUGGGCGGAAGCCUGAUGCAGCAACGCCGCGUGCGGGAUGACGGCCUUCGGGUUGUAAACCGCUUUCGCCUGUGACGAAGCGUGAGUGACGGUAAUGGGUAAAGAAGCACCGGCUAACUACGUGCCAGCAGCCGCGGUGAUACGUAGGGUGCGAGCGUUGUCCGGAUUUAUUGGGCGUAAAGGGCUCGUAGGUGGUUGAUCGCGUCGGAAGUGUAAUCUUGGGGCUUAACCCUGAGCGUGCUUUCGAUACGGGUUGACUUGAGGAAGGUAGGGGAGAAUGGAAUUCCUGGUGGAGCGGUGGAAUGCGCAGAUAUCAGGAGGAACACCAGUGGCGAAGGCGGUUCUCUGGGCCUUUCCUGACGCUGAGGAGCGAAAGCGUGGGGAGCGAACAGGCUUAGAUACCCUGGUAGUCCACGCUGUAAACGGUGGGUACUAGGUGUGGGGUCCAUUCCACGGGUUCCGUGCCGUAGCUAACGCUUUAAGUACCCCGCCUGGGGAGUACGGCCGCAAGGCUAAAACUCAAAGGAAUUGACGGGGCCCCGCACAAGCGGCGGAGCAUGCGGAUUAAUUCGAUGCAACGCGUAGAACCUUACCUGGGUUUGACAUGGAUCGGGAGUGCUCAGAGAUGGGUGUGCCUCUUUUGGGGUCGGUUCACAGGUGGUGCAUGGCUGUCGUCAACUCGUGUCGUGAGAUGUUGGGUUAAGUCCCGCAACGAGCGCAACCCUUGUUCACUGUUGCCAGCACGUUAUGGUGGGGACUCAGUGGAGACCGCCGGGGUCAACUCGGAGGAAGGUGGGGAUGACGUCAAGUCAUCAUGCCCCUUAUGUCCAGGGCUUCACGCAUGCUACAAUGGCUGGUACAGAGAGUGGCGAGCCUGUGAGGGUGAGCGAAUCUCGGAAAGCCGGUCUCAGUUCGGAUUGGGGUCUGCAACUCGACCUCAUGAAGUCGGAGUCGCUAGUAAUCGCAGAUCAGCAACGCUGCGGUGAAUACGUUCCCGGG